GGACCGAUAUAUCGGUCGUGCCUCGGUACGUACUGGCAUUGUUGGUUUCUCCCUUCUGACGAACCAUGAUGUCAUUUAUUUGGUGUUGUGGGGAAUCAGGACUGUUACUUUGAAAAAAUUAGGGUGUUUAAAGCAGGCUCACGCUUGAAUACAAUAGCAUGGAAUAAUGAAAUAGGACGUUCGGUCCUAUUUUGUUGGUUUCUAGGAUUGACGUA
rnacentral:rRNA from 1 species